CCGCUAUUGACUCUGUUGCUUCAUGAUGAAUGCUGGAUGAAACAUCUUCAAAUUCUACCUGAUUUAUGUAUGAUGUCAACAUGACUUAAGGCCUUACGGGAUCAUCCCCAGCACUGUGAAACUGGAGGAAGAAGCAGCAUUCAAGUGAGUGAAUGUGUAUUUGGACUGAGCAAAGGGAAUAUUCUUCAAGAGAGAUUCAAAAGGCUUCUGAACGAGAUGAGUCAUAAAGGACAGCCAAGGCCUUAUCCAGGUGAGCAAUUUCUAGAAGGUGCAGCAAAACCUGGAGGCAUCAGAGAGCAGAACACAACUGCAGAACAGAGGACCCCAAGUGGCAGAGGCAAAGAAGUGAAAUAAUAAUUCAACUUAAAAAAAAUCUGGCCUAAUGACAACUUCAGUGGAUGGAUCACAUUACCUUGAUGCAUUCUUAUCAAUUAUCACAUUCAGUUGAUUUUCAUCAUGGAAUUAGUGGUAUAACCUCAUUGACUUCUGCCAAAGUGUUUGAAUAUAUUCUUUGCUCAAGGAUAGGAAAUGGGAAAAAGAUCCUUUUAAGCUAUGUGUUUAAACUAUCUGUUUAAUUCUUGUUCUUUUACCUCAGUGGUUCAAGUUCAAAGUUUGUCAACAAGUUAUUUGA